rnacentral:sRNA from 1 species
GCUGAAUGUAGUGGUGCACACCUGUAAUCCCAGUAGCUUGGGAGGCUGAGGCAGGAGGAUCACAAGUUCAAAGCCAGUCUCAGCAAAAGUGAGGGGCUAAGCAAUUUAGUGAGACCCUGUCUCAA